GUCGGCGCGGGAGGAGUUUGAAGGCUUCUCUAAAAGAGGGCGGGGCGUCUCCUGUGGAACAUCUUGUGGGCGGCCGUCUGGCGCCUCAGAAAGCGUCUGGAGUUAUGCGCGCGUGGCUCCUUGAAGCUGGGGAAAUUCGCUCGCGUCAGGGGUCUCUUACUCGGCUAGCAGCAGCAGAAAAAAGACGCCCCUGAUAAAAACUGGUGCUCUCCUCGCUACUCUGAGGACGGCCCGCUUAUCGGACGGAGAUGCGGAGCGCUGCGCCCUUCUCCCUCUCAGUGGGAGGUCGUUCCCCUUUCGUGUCGAGAGCGACCAAUUGCGCGCAUAGUAAACCCUUAUACAGAUGUUAAUACAGAUUAACAGAGUUGGAAGGGACCUUGUAGGUCAUCUAGUCCAACCCCCCGCCCAGCAGACCCUACACCAUUUCUGACAGAUGACAGUUCAGUCUCUUCUGGAAAUCUUCCAGUGACGAAGCUCCCACAACUUCUGAAGGAAACUUCAGUUCCAUCGGUUGAUUGUUCUCACUGUCAGAAAAUUCCUCCUUAUUCAUUUACUGUUACCUCGGGAGAAAAUGUAGUUUCAGGAGGAAGAGAGAAUAGGAAAGUUAUUUGUUUCAACUACUUUUGUGGAGGAAAAGAAUGCAGAAUCUGCCUUCCAUCACAAGCCUUGGAAAACUUCAUGGUUCAAGCCAUGUUAUUCCUUGUGAAUGAAAGACAAUUCUCCAGUCUUCUGCAGAGGGGAGGGAAGAACAGAGAAAUUGAUCUUUGGCCACUCCAAUGACAAUGGAAAGAAAUGUGAGUUAAUUGUAAAACAUCUGAAGAAAAUAAUUAACUGCAAGAAAAUUUAAGUUAACAUUCAACAGUUUAAGCAUAGUGAACUUUGG